ACUCCCUUUAGGAAACAGAGAGAGCUCACCAGCAAGAAGAGGAAGGCAGGAAAUAUUUGGAAAGGUGGAAAGAGGAGGAGAGGACAAAGCUGUAUGAAGAGAUAGAUGGCCUGAAGCAGCUCUUCCUCACAGCAUUCAAAGACAUGGCCAGCAGGAACAGUGCCAUGGAGGGGAAACUGCAGGAGCUUUAUACUAGAGAGGUGUUGAGAUCCAACCUGGGAACCCUGCGGGAUGAUGACAGCGAGGAGGCAUUGUGGCAGGCAUCAGGCUGGGCAGAGCGGGAGAGGAUGGCAGUGCAGAAAAAGAACAAGACACCCCGUGACGCCCCAUCCCAGGACCAGUGGACAGUUAUGGACCAUGUCUCCCAGCAAAUGGAUGCCCUCAGCACCCAUGUCAGGGAGCAGCCCAGAGUCACCGAGUCCCAGGAGAAGAAGGCAAGUAAAAAUAAAAAAGAACAAGGUCUUGAUUCAUCAGGAAGGCUUAAGCAGGUAUUUAACUCUAAGCAGACUUAAAACAUUUGCUGAAUCAAGACUAAGCUUAAUUUCAACCCCAUUCUGUAAUGCUUUGCUACAUUCGGCUAUUUUGGCACUCAUUAAACACAA
rnacentral:lncRNA from 14 species